rnacentral:rRNA from 1 species
CCUACGGGGGGCUGCAGUGGGGAAUAUUGGACAAUGGGGGGAACCCUGAUCCAGCCAUGCCGCGUGUGUGAAGAAGGCCCUCGGGUUGUAAAGCACUUUCAGUGAGGAAGAACGCCUGGUGGUUAAUACCCAUCAGGAAAGACAUCACUCACAGAAGAAGCACCGGCUAACUCCGUGCCAGCAGCCGCGGUAAUACGGAGGGUGCGAGCGUUAAUCGGAAUUACUGGGCGUAAAGCGCGCGUAGGUGGCUUGAUAAGCCGGUUGUGAAAGCCCCGGGCUCAACCUGGGAACGGCAUCCGGAACUGUCAAGCUAGAGUGCAGGAGAGGAAGGUAGAAUUCCCGGUGUAGCGGUGAAAUGCGAAGAGAUCGGGAGGAAUACCAGUGGCGAAGGCGGCCUUCUGGACUGACACUGACACUGAGGUGCGAAAGCGUGGGUAGCAAACAGGAUUAGAUACCCUAGUAGUC